GACGAACGCUGGCGGCGUGCUUAACACAUGCAAGUCGAGCGGUAAGGCCUUUCGGGGUACACGAGCGGCGAACGGGUGAGUAACACGUGGGUGAUCUGCCCUGCACUUCGGGAUAAGCAUGGGAAACUGGGUCUAAUACCGGAUAUGACCUCCUAUCGCAUGGUGGGUGGUGGAAAGAUUUAUCGGUGCAGGAUGGGCCCGCGGCCUAUCAGCUUGUUGGUGGGGUAAUGGCCUACCAAGGCGACGACGGGUAGCCGACCUGAGAGGGUGACCGGCCACACUGGGACUGAGACACGGCCCAGACUCCUACGGGAGGCAGCAGUGGGGAAUAUUGCACAAUGGGCGAAAGCCUGAUGCAGCGGUGCCGCGUGAGGGAUGACGGCCUUCGGGUUGUAAACCUCUUUCAGCAGGGACGAAGCGCAAGUGACGGUACCUGCAGAAGAAGCACCGGCUAACUACGUG
rnacentral:rRNA from 1 species